GGGUCUGCGUUUCAUUAGCUAGUUGGUAGGGUAAGAGCCUACCAAGGCGACGAUGGUUAGCUGGUCUGAGAGGAUGAUCAGCCACACUGGAACUGAGACACGGUCCAGACUCCUACGGGAGGCAGCAGUGGGGAAUUUUGCGCAAUGGGGGAAACCCUGACGCAGCAACGCCGCGUGAGUGAUGGAGGCUUUCGGGUCGUAAAGCUCUGUCUAGAGGGAAGAAAUGAUAUUCGGUUAAUACCCGGAUUUCUUGACGGUACCUCUGAAGGAAGCACCGGCUAACUCCGUGCCAGCAGCCGCGGUAAU
rnacentral:rRNA from 1 species